AUUUCUUCAUGCUCAAAGAAAGCCACACAGGGAACCGUCCAUCUCGGCCGCUCAGGAAGAGGUGUUUUCGGGACGCCGCUACCACGACGACUAUGGCUCACACCUGUUUCCUGCCUGGGCUCAGAUCCUGGCUUCCCGCCCCCUUGGGAUCCUCGGGACACCUGGCGCUAUGGCCCACCUGUCGACUUGCUCCGUCUCCAGGAUGUGGUGAGCCAGUGGGUUUUUAUGACGUCCCUCUGUACCCGGCAUGCUGCCUGCCUACUGCCACUGCUGGCCUUGGGAGCUUGGUUGCGGCAAAAUGCGCUACCUGGCCUUGGUUCCUUGUUGGCUUAGGGAAAGUGCUCCAGGCAUGCGUUUUCAGCUGGGUUCGCACCUCUCCUGGACUCUUGUUCCGCUGCUGGCCUUGGUCCCAGUACGGCUCAUACCCUCUGUGCCAUUAGCUGGAGGUCCACUCCCUGACAAACCAGUCAACAUAAGUAGGAACAGGCCCGGGCCUUGUAUGCAGAUAGGUUGAAAUAGCAUGGAACUCGCAAGAAAGUUUGGCACCCAGACGUAUGACAAAAGCUCUAAAUAACAACUAAGUAACAGAAAGCAAAAUAAACUAUGAACUCUCUGGCAUACAUAUUUGUAACUGCGUGAGAAGGAGCACCUCAAUCACUAACCUUUGUGGCUCAAGUUCGUUAGAACCCAAGAAAAAAAUGUUAGCUCUGCCCAGAGCCAUUGCUGUCCCUCCCACAGAGAAAUUUGCAUAAAUGCUCCAUUCGGUAGUGCUUUCCUCAUUUUUGUGACGUCAAGCACAUCUCGAGCGUGUCAGACAGUUGAUUUUUCCAUAAAGGUGCACGUUUGUGUCGCUAGAAACUUGAAUGUCCUGGUAAACUUCGUCGGGGAUUCUGACGUCAUUGCUCAGCCAUAUGUAAUGUGUAAUGUUUUGAGUAAUAAUGAUCAAUUUUUAAUUCUUAAAUGUGCGUAGUAUUUACAUUAGCUGAG
rnacentral:lncRNA from 1 species